CCCAAGGCCGAAGAAGUCCUCCCCUCAGUUCGAGGAGUUUGGGUUAAAAUGGCCAGCGGGACCUUGGAGGGUAUUAGGUUAAAUACUUAUUUUUAAGUAUUUCUGGACAGAACUUGUAUUUCCAGCCCUUCCUUAGGCUGUCCAUUCACAUGAAGUGGUUGACUUUUUUUUCAGAUUAUACUUUUAAAAAAAUUGUUUUAAUUAUCCGUAAUAGUUCCCCCUUAAAAAAAUGACAAGUAAAAUUUUUUUUAAAUGAAAAAUUCAUGGAAUCUUAGAGUUGAGAAAACAAUACAGUAGAGCGUUUAAGAGCUGGAACUCUGAGGACUUCCCUGGCGGUCUAGUGGUUAAGACUGCGUUCCCACUGCAGGGGGCACGCGGUUGGAUCCCUGGUCCAGAAUGAUUUUGACCUACACCCAGUGUUGAUGCUACCAGGAGAAAAAAAUUCACUGCAAAGACGUUUCACCUUUUACCAAGUGUCCAGUGUUCCAGAUCACCUGUGAUGAGCAGAGAUUAAAGGUUAUCCCUAAACUGGCUUUGCAGGAUGCCGGGAGGAACUCAUCCUCCAACCACCACCCUUCCGGGAACUUCCCAGCACAAGCACCUUUUUCUCUACGCCUAUGUGUAAAAGGUGGUAGCAGCAGAGUCCCUCUGCCAUGAAGACGUCGCAGGUCUCAUCUUACUCUCACCUCCUCAGAGGGCCUUCCCAGAUCAUUCAACCUGAAGGAGCUGGUCAGUCAUCUCUACCACAUCACCCUAUUUUAAUUCUCUCUGUAGCUCUUCUCAUGAUCUGAUGUGGUUCCUGUUUACAGUCUCUCUCUUCCUUCUGACAGUGCAGGAACUGUGUCCUGCCCACUACUCCACUCCCAACUGAAGAAUGGCAAGUGUCUGGCAUCUUGUAAGGACUCAAUAAAAGUUUGUUGAAUCAAUGAAUGAAUUGUACCUUGUACCCUCUGUGCCCAAAUAUGGGCUCCCAUUACUUCGUGGAAGAAAAGCUUAUAAGGCCUUCUUUAGAAAGAAAGAAUGUACAAUCAGAAAUGUGAUUUCCCCUUUAAGUAGGGAAGACAAAUUCUUAUCAGUAAAGUUCUUACUAUUUAGGUUUCAAAGCCUAAGGAAAAGUCUGAGAAGACUGGUAUUUCUGCUUUGAGUCCCCAUACUGUUGUCUCUGGUUUCUGACAUCCAAGAAAAAAAGAAUUCUCCUACCUCUGAAAACCCAUUUAUUACCUUUCAGUUAUACACAUGCAGAAUUUUUAUAGGAUUUAGUUGUUUCUGAGUACUUGUGACACAUUGUUUGUUUAUAUAAAUUAUGAGUCAUUCUGUCAAAUGGGUAUUGUGAAAAUUAAUGAUGAUUCAAAACUUUUAUCAGUUGGUAAAAAUGAUUCAACAACGAGCUUAUUAAGCUUUCCUUAACUUAUUCAAAUCUCACAAAAAAUCCUCAAUUUGCAACUCUUAUGUUAAGAGAAGUAUCUCAAUCUUUCUACACCAAUAAAAAUAUUUAAAAUAAAGUGAC